UGGGUGAUGUCAUCUGCUUUGUUUGGUACCUGCCCAACCAGAUACGAACUGAGGGCCAUGAAAGCUGACUCACCUUCGCAGCAGAAGAUCAUGAUUCUUGGCUAUGCAAACCUGAGGCUGAUGCAUCCUCCAGCAGCUGACCACGGACAUGUGCAGCAUCACAGUGACAGAUGGCAUUUCAACCACUUGGUUUACACCUUCCUCCACUGUCACCACCAUUCUGACAGAAAUGAGUUCCAUUUGCUCCAUUUUACAUAAGGGCAAAAGGCAGCAUUGACUCACCAAGUUUACACAGUUAGGGAAAAGAGCAACCAGGUCAGGAUCAGAUACAACAAAGAAGUGAUUGCAGAUGUUAAAUGGAACAUAGCUCUGGUCGUUUGAUAAAUAUUCAGUAAUUUCUUCAGUUUGUUAAGAAAAAUUAUCCAAAAUUUACAAUUACAGAGGAAGCAAAAUUUUACCUGUACCCUAUUUUUUUUUUUUCUGGGGCUAAGAAUUAAAUUGACUUAAGACAGACAUAAGACAGAUCAACAGCAGAAGAACAAAUUUACUUAAUACAAGUUUUACAUGGCAGGAGAGACUACAUAAGGAAAUGCAGACCCAAAGGCACAGUUAGAUUGAACACUUACAUACAGAAUUAAAGAGUCAUGAAUUGUGAAAAUGUCACAAGGCCAAGAAGCUUGGGCUGAGUGGUUAAUUGAGUGAAAAAGUGGCUCGGAAGGUAAGUUUAGUCUAACAAGGUUUGUUUGUACAAAUUUCCCUUGGCCUCAACUUCCUAUCCUUGAUGAUAAGAGUGAUGCUUUCCUUCUGCUAUAGGGAAGGGAUCUUUCACAAGCGAAUUUCAUCUCCUACUUGUAAGAAACAGAAAGUCAGAGUGACCCUCUCACACCUGUUGUUUUUCAGGUGCCCUAAACUCAAAAUAGUCAAUAUGUCAGAGCGGCCUAUUUUGGGGUGGUGUGUAACCCCUGAAAACGUAGAGUUGUCCUCUCAAUGGUAUAUUAAGGCAUCAUUUAAAGGUUAUUUCAUUAUUUAGGAAAGCAGUUUUCAAACUUUGCUUCAUAAUUGGAAACACCUGGGAUGUUCGAAAACUAUGGCUGCCUGGCUCCCACCCCUAGACAUCCUGAUUUAAUGGUGGGGGGUGAUGUGAUAGGCUAAACAAUAACCUCCCAAAGAUGCCCACCACCUAAUCCUUAGACCCUAUGAAUAUGUUCCCUUACAUGUAAGAGACUUUGCAGAUAUGAUUAAGUUAAGGCUCUGUAGAUGGGGAAAAUAUCCUGGAUUAUCUGAAUACGCCCAAGGUCAUCACAAUGGUGAUUACCAAAAGAAGGCUGGAGGGUCAGAGUCAGAGAGAUAAGGCUUAAAGAUGGAGGCAGAGGUCAGAGAAGACCCUGUGCUGUUGCCUCACACGGUGAGGAAGGGGCCACAAGCCAAGAAAUGCAUGCAGCCUUUAGAAGGUAAAAAAGGCAAGGAAUGGAUUCUCCUCUAGAGCCUCUAGAAGGAAGCAGCUCUUUGGACCAAUUUUCAACUCUGACCUCCAGAACUGUAAGAGAAUAAAGCUGGAUUGCAUUAA
ensembl:lncRNA novel transcript